CUACGUGCCAGCAGCCGCGGUAAUACGUAGGGUGCGAGCGUUAAUCGGAAUUACUGGGCGUAAAGCGAGCGCAGACGGUUACUUAAGCAGGAUGUGAAAUCCCCGGGCUUAACCUGGGAACUGCGUUCUGAACUGGGUGACUAGAGUGUGUCAGAGGGAGGUAGAAUUCCACGUGUAGCAGUGAAAUGCGUAGAGAUGUGGAGGAAUACCGAUGGCGAAGGCAGCCUCCUGGGAUAACACUGACGUUCAUGCUCGAAAGCGUGGGUAGCAAACAGGAUUAGAUACCCUGGUAGUCCACGCCCUAAACGAUGUCAAUUAGCUGUUGGGCAACUUGAUUGCUUAGUAGCGUAGCUAACGCGUGAAAUUGACCGCCUGGGGAGUACGGUCGCAAGAUUAAAACUCAAAGGAAUUGACGGGGACCCGCACAAGCGGUGGAUGAUGUGGAUUAAUUCGAUGCAACGCGAAGAACCUUACCUGGUCUUGACAU
rnacentral:rRNA from 1 species